UGCGCGCGCCCUCUCCAGAGUGUUGAGCGCUAUUACACAACUAGAAUGUGUUUUUCAUGAAUACGCAACCUUUUUGGCACAACUUAAGCUACGGUGUUAAUGAAUUUCGGAUAUAGCCGUCGCAACAUCAGCAUAGGCCUAUAACAAGUUGUCUCGUCUCUUUUAGACCAUUAAGAAACUAAGGAUGUGGUGAGAGAUUCAUCAGGAAAUGGGUGGCAGACCAUCUGUAGGCCUAUCAGUGGUGUUUUACGCUAGGUCUGCAUUCAACCAGCGUGAAACAUGCACCCGUAUGUUUGAAUAAGCCACGUGGUAUGUGUUGUGACUACAAGCUACAAGUGUAUAUGUUGGGCAUUCAGACACAACAGAAUCUUGGACAGGUGAAACAGUUGUUCAUAAAGGAAUGCUGCUGGAUUCCGUAAUGGGAGAAGCUGGUCUUUGAUGGUCUUGGCUUCAAUCUAAACACUGAAACUGUGGUCGCUCAAAGUAUUUCCUCAGAGCUCGUUAGUGUUGGCCGCUGAAUGGUCGCAUGCAUGAUAAAUGACGGUGUGGCUCUCCUGACUCUCCUUCACUAAUUAGCGCUCUGUGAACUCCGUCGCCUCCGCGCGAACACAAACCAAAUCCUAUGAGCUCAACUAGAGUGAAAACAUUUCUCUUGGUCUGCCCUUAGAAGUCUCUUGGCAGAUCCAUAUAUUUCCAACGAACCUGGGCUGCCUGUUUGCACGUCAGUUCAUUUCACUACAAAUGUUACUGCGAGAGAGCGGUCAUUUAUUUGCUUCAGGACACGCGGCCAAGUCACACCAAUAGACUAUACGUCUUAUAUUUAUGCCAUUACGUAAAACGAAUGCUAAGGCCUA